rnacentral:tRNA from 1 species
UAGGUUAAAGUCCGUUGCGGUAAACUGUAUAGUUGUUAAUUAGUUUUUUGCGGGAUCGAGGCCUGCUAAUCUAG